GAAACGCGAUAUGUAAUGUGAAUUGCAGAAUUCAGUGAAUCAUCGAAUCUUUGAACGCACCUUGCGCCCCUUGGUAUUCCGAGGGGUAUGCCUGUUUGAGUGUCAUGAAUCCUUCGGACCCCGCCGGUUUUGACGAACCGCGCGCCUGGGUUCGGUUUUGGGCGCGACGCCAUCCUCCCUCCCUCGGGUGGGCUGGACUGGCCCGCCAUAAAUGCAUUAGCUGGACCUCGCAACGUGGGCAGGUUCCGAUCGGCGUGAUAAGUCAUUUGCUGAGAGGUGCCCGUUCUGCGGAUCGCGGUCCGCUUCCAACCCGUCCGUGCAUCCCUCGGGAUGUGCGGAAAAGUGUCAACGCUCUGGCCUCAAAUCAGGUAGGAUUACCCGCUGAACUUAA
rnacentral:misc_RNA from 1 species